GUAGGGUGCAAGCGUUGUUCGGAAUUAUUGGGCGUAAAGAGCGUGUAGGUGGUUAGGAAAGUUGGAUGUGAAAGCCCUAGGCUCAACCUAGGAAGUGCAUCCAAAACUGCUUAGCUAGAGGGCGAGAGAGGGAGGUGGAAUUCCUAGUGUAGAGGUGAAAUUCGUAGAUAUUAGGAGGAAUACCGGUGGCGAAGGCGGCCUCCUGGAUCGAUCCUGACACUGAGACGCGAAAGCGUGGGGAGCAAACAGGGAUUAGAUACCCUGGUAGUCCACGCCGUAAACGAUGAGUACUAGAUGUUGUGGGAAUUGACCCCCCCUGCAGUGUCGCAGCUAACGCAUUAAGUACUCCGCCUGGAAGUACGGUCGCAAGGCUA
rnacentral:rRNA from 1 species